AUUGAACGCUGGCGGCAUGCUUUACACAUGCAAGUCGAACGGUAACAGGGUGCUUGCACCGCUGACGAGUGGCGAACGGGUGAGUAAUACAUCGGAAUGUACCCAGUAAUGGGGGAUAACGCUUCGAAAGGAGUGCUAAUACCGCAUACGCCCUGAGGGGGAAAGUGGGGGACCGCAAGGCCUCACGUUAUUGGAGCAGCCGAUGGCUGAUUAGCUAGUUGGUGAGGUAAAGGCUCAUCAAGCCGAUGAUCAGUACCUGGUCUUAGAGGAUGAUCAGGCACACUGGGACUGAGACACGGCCCAGACUCCUACGGGAGGCAGCAGUGGGGAAUAUUGGACAAUGGGCGCAAGCCUGAUCCAGCCAUGCCGCGUGAUUGAAGAAGGCCUUAGGGUUGUAAGAUCUUUGGCGGGGAAGAUAAUGACUGUACCCGCAGAAUAAGACCCCGGCUAACUCCGUGCCAGCAGCCGCG
rnacentral:rRNA from 1 species